UAACGCGAAGAACCUUACCAGGUCUUGACAUCCUUUGAAGCUUUUAGAGAUAGAAGUGUUCUCUUCGGAGACAAAGUGACAGGUGGUGCAUGGUCGUCGUCAGCUCGUGUCGUGAGAUGUUGGGUUAAGUCCCGCAACGAGCGCAACCCUUAUUGUUAGUUGCCAGCAUUCAGAUGGGCACUCUAGCGAGACUGCCGGUGACAAACCGGAGGAAGGCGGGAACGACGUCAGAUCAUCAUGCCCCUUAUGACCUGGGCUACACACGUGCUACAAUGGCGUAUACAACGAGUUGCCAACCCGCGAGGGUGAGCUAAUCUCUUAAAGUACGUCUCAGUUCGGAUUGUAGUCUGCAACUCGACUACAUGAAGUCGGAAUCGCUAGUAAUCGCGGAUCAGC
rnacentral:rRNA from 1 species